UACGUAGGGGGCAAGCGUUAUCCGGAAUUACUGGGUGUAAAGGGAGCGUAGACGGUAAUGUAAGUCUGGAGUGAAAGGCGGGGGCCCAACCCCCGGACUGCUCUGGAAACUAUGUUACUAGAGUGCAGGAGAGGUAAGCGGAAUUCCUAGUGUAGCGGUGAAAUGCGUAGAUAUUAGGAGGAACACCAGUGGCGAAGGCGGCUUACUGGCCUGUAACUGACACUGAGGCUCGAAAGCGUGGGGAGCAAACAGG
rnacentral:rRNA from 1 species